UUUUUCUUCCCUUUUUUCUUUAUCUAUGUUUUAUUUUUGAAAUAAUUGUGUGUGAAUUGUCUUGAUAUUGAACCCUAGGGUAGAAAACAUGUUUAUAUCUGCUUGGGAAUUUUUCUAGUUGUUUUGCAGGUGAGGGUUUAGGUGCAUUGCAUUCUCCCUUCACACACACACUUUAUGCAUAUCAUGAGUGGGGCCCUAUACCCGAGUCUGAGCGAAGUUUAGAAUUAGAGGGGUUGUGUAGCUGUGCCACUUGGGACAUACUGCCUGUUUGGCUAUCGUGAGAACCCCAGCUAGAGUUUGUUUUCUUCAUUUAUCUCUCCGUGUCUAGUUGAUUACUCGACUGUUGUGGAGACGCUGUGAAGGGGGCCAUAGCUCUAGUGAGCAUUGAUCUUUAGGCUCAGGGAACCAUCCUUGUGAGAUUGCAUAUACUUGACUUUGAAUCUUAAGCAUCGAACCUUCGUAGGGGCACAAAGGGAGAUGUGUGCAGUCUUCUAACCCUUAUUUUCACUUGAUAAAAUCACGCAUCUUGUGCAUAUCUUGAGUCACUUGUCUUUCUUGCAAAUCUUCAAACUCAUUUUUUUCGAAAAAAAA
rnacentral:lncRNA from 1 species